CCAAAAUAAAUAGGUUUGAGUCUAUCUGAGUUUUGGGACCCAUCAUGGGGCUCCAAAAAAUAUCCAGUUAUAGACACUAUCUUAAGAAAGAGGAUGAUUCUGCUGCUUUGUAGCUGGCUGAAUUGUGCUCAUUUCUUACCAGUUUGUUUAGAGUCACAUGCCCCCAUAACUCAGGGGACACUGAUUCAGAGUAGAUUCGCUCUUGGGAGUGGGGUGCUGUAUACGUUCAUUUCCCAAGAGUUUAGCAUCCUUCCUCCUUAACUAACUGUAUCUGGUGAGCUAUAGAAAAUUUACUGUUUCUAUUUUAACUGUUCCCAGAAAACCAUCAGAAGGUUUUAGCUAGAGUGUGUCUAUGAAUAUUCAUAGACAGUCAGCUUCUGUAUUAGAAACCACACCCACAUCUCUGCAGUAUCUGCAGCAAGAUCAAGGGCGUCCUUGGGGACUCACGGGGCAGCAUGAAAACCUGACUGCAGUCUACCUGCACAAUGAGAUGAGGUUUUCUUUUGGACCCAGCAAGGAUCCCUGCAGUCGAGUUUAUGUACGAGUGCUGCUGAGAUAUAAUUCAGAGGAAGUUAUUGUCAAGUUGAGGAGGGACUUGCUUUUAUUGAAUGAUCAUAAAAUAUCUUAUAUAAGCAAUUGGAGACUAUCCAGUUCUUUCCGGUUGCAGAGAAACUUAUCCUUCAACUCCUGGAGACAAGAAUUUUAAAUUCAACCAAUGAAGCACAGGCAAAUAGCAUUACCUCACCCAAAGAGUGUUUCAUUGGCUGUUCACUUUCCAAGUUGCUUAAAAAUAGUUUCUAAUACUUUAACCCUUGUGUUUGUAAAUCCUACAUGAUGCAGUGUUAGAGCAAACUCUUAAUACUAAAGACAUUCUAUGUGAUAUACACAUAAUGUAUGGUUAGAUUAAAGAAACAAAUGCCACUUAUCGCCAUUAAAAACAUAUUAUAAUGCCAAUGAUCAAUUUGAUUUUUAAAAAGAAACCUUAAUUUUCUUUUUGCUGAAUCAUAAUAUCUGUAUUUGCAUGCUAG
rnacentral:lncRNA from 1 species